rnacentral:tRNA from 1 species
GGCCUCUUGGCGGAAUUGGCAGACGCGACGGAUUCAAAAUCCGUUGCCCGAAAGGGCGUAUCGGUUCGACUCCGAUAGAGGCCA